rnacentral:rRNA from 1 species
CCUACGGGGCGCAGCAGGCGCGAAACCUCCGCAAUGUGAGAAAUCGCGACGGGGGGAUCCCAAGUGCCAUUCUUAACGGGAUGGCUUUUCAUUAGUGUAAAGAGCUUUUGGAAUAAGGGCUGGGCAAGACCGGUGCCAGCCGCCGCGGUAACACCGGCAGCUCUAGUGGUAGCAGUUUUUAUUGGGCCUAAAGCGUCCGUAGCCGGUUUAAUAAGUCUCUGGUGAAAUCCCGUAGCUUAACUGUGGGAAUUGCUGGAGAUACUAUUAGACUUGAGACCGGGAGAGGUUAGAGGUACUCCCAGGGUAGAGGUGAAAUUCUGUAAUCCUGGGAGGACCGCCUGUUGCGAAGGCGUCUAACUGGAACGGUUCUGACGGUGAGGGACGAAAGUUAGGGGCGCGAACCGGAUUAGAUACCCGGGUAGUCCUAACUGUAANACGAUGUGGACUUGGUGUUGGGGUNGRCUUKSAGSUGCUSCARUGCCGRASGRAAGCKGUYMRGUCYGSCSCMUSKKAMGUACGGUVGSAAGASUSAAACUKAARGGAWUWGGCGGGGGAGCACCACAACGCGUGGAGCCUGCGGUUUAAUUGGAUUCAACGCCGRACAUCUCACCAGAGGCGACAGCUGUAUGAUAGCCAGGCUGAUGACUUUGCUUGACUAGCUGAGAGGAGGUGCAUGGCCGCCGUCAGCUCGUACCGUGAGGCGUCCUGUUAAGUCWGGCAACGAGCGAGACCCACGCCCUUAGUUACCAGCGGAUCCUUUUUUGGAUGCCGGGCACACUAAGGGGACCGCCUAUGAUAAAUAGGAGGAAGGAGUGGACGACGGUAGGUCCGUAUGCCCCGAAUCCUCUGGGCAACACGCGGGCUACAAUGGCUAAGACAAUGGGUUCCGACACCGAAAGGUGGAGGUAAUCCUCUAAACUUAGUCGUAGUUCGGAUUGAGGACUGUAACUCGUUCUCAUGAAGCUGGAAUGCGUAGUAAUCGCGUAUCACUAUUGCGCGGUGAAUACGUCCCUGCUCCUUGCACACACCGCUUU